rnacentral:rRNA from 1 species
AUGGCCAUCAAGACGAUGCUCUCGCUGCUCUUGAUGGUCUUCUCUUCGAUGGGUCUCGUCUCAAGCAUACCAUGGCAUCAUGUGGGAUUCAACUACUUUGUGUAUUGCGAGGCAAUCGUGUGGCCGGGCAGGGCUUGUAUUUUGUUCAAAUGUACUGUUCAUGAUGGUGUACUUCUCACCAGGUUUAGCCAGGUCUUUACCCAACUAGAAACUGUGCAAUCAAGUACGAGUUUCUUUUCAAUGUGUGCCGCCUCAAGAUCAGUUUGUUCAAGGAGAAGUGAUAUCAAAUACGACAACAAUGGAGCCGCCGCCUCUUUUUUCAAUAGUGAAAUGCCAUUUGAGGAGCUCUACACAAGAGAAAACAAAAUCUGCUUGAUUAUUUGUGGGGAACUACUGGCACUAUCAUUCAAGAUAAACAAGGGAAGUAUAUCGCUGCGAGUAAUGUACUAUCGGAUCUGGUUCAAGAUGUUCUUUCUGCUAAAGCUUUGGCUCUCAAGAAUGCCAUGGCGUGACUCACACGACACGAGGACGACGAAGAAACAGUCCUUCGUGCUGUGCCUCCUGGAAGUGCCGAGCAAAAAGGGCCACGAACACUACUCCCUCAACCUAAGAUGCAUUUUCUCCAAGUGCAAUUACCGGGCGCCGCCGCCGCCGCCGCUGCCAUUAUCAGACGUCGAGGACUGGGUUGCCAGCGCCGAGGGCAUCUCCGUCUGCUACUACACAAAUCUCCCUCGCCCUGGCCUCCACGACGCUCUCACCAGAGGCGUCACCGACCUGCCUCCCUUCAAUUGGAUUUGGAAGCAGAGCCCAACUGGCAUUACGUAUAGCGACGGCACAACCCUCCUGUACAGUGCCUCCAACAUCAAGUCCCACCCCCGCAAUAAUCUCCACAUGGAUCGGUUCAGGGCAGCACUCCUACGUCCCGGCGACACGCGAUGGACACUCGUCGAGAGGAACUUUGAAUCCACGGAGUAUGGCGAGUUCUGUGCCGUGUAUCACCACAACAAGAUACUGGUCACCAUGGAGAAAAGCCUCUGGCACGUCAUCACGCCAGGGACCUGGAAGGGUAUAUCUUGUGGAGGCGGCAGCGGGUCAGGGGAUGUACAGGAUUUUCAUGCUCAAUCUCCGCCUCACCAGCAGCCGGAACGCCAUCGAGACGUGCCGGCGACCCGGUCCUCCAUGAACGUCAUCGGCCGCUGCCCUGGUCGUGCUCAAACAGGAUGCCGUCCUUCGGACCAGGUCACAAUGUUGUAUGGCAAUGUGCUUCUGCACCUGGCAGAUACCGCCAGCGACUGCAUCCGGCACUCCGGCCGUGGUGUGCUCGAUGGCAACGGCCAAGGCAACACGGUGGAGGCUGAGAUGGCGGCACCGGGGGUCGGUACGCCCUCGAGCCCCCUCCAAGGGCAUCGGCAAGAUCGGCCUCCCCGCACAGACACGAACAGGACAGCCACAAUGGAAUUACGGGAGCAAGCACAACUCGAAUUCACACGAGACCGAGUUGGCAAUUGGCAUCAAGGAGAGUGGAAAAGAACGGGGCAGAGAGAAGAAGAUAAGCGGCUGAGCUGGGCAAGGGGAUGGCCCACGUCGGACGGAGGCUCAGGUCCUUGUGUGGCACCGUGCGGAGGGCCUCCGGUGACGCAACACCGGGUGCCAGGGGGCAGGGGCGGUGGUGCAUGGAAGACAACGAUCGGUGCCCUGCAGAUGCAUGAUACGGAGGCAUGCGUGCCCAAUUCAUCAGUCAUGCAGCCUCUGCCCCGUCGGCUGGCCCAACUCGUCGCCCCAGCGACUAGCGCAGAGAGUCGUGGAACAUUAACAAUGAUUGAUCCGUGGAUGCACAUGUCGUGUGAGACAAAAGUGACGAACCGUCUCAAUUGUAAAGCCAAGUAUGUGGAGGAUCUGCCUUGGAUGAUGGAUGGACCAGGGUAG